UGGGGAAUUUUGGACAAUGGGCGAAAGCCUGAUCCAGCAAUGCCGCGUGUGUGAAGAAGGCCUUCGGGUUGUAAAGCACUUUUGUCCGGAAAGAAAUCCUUGGCUCUAAUACAGUCGGGGGAUGACGGUACCGGAAGAAUAAGCACCGGCUAACUACGUGCCAGCAGCCGCGGUAAUACGUAGGGUGCAAGCGUUAAUCGGAAUUACAGGGCGUAAAGCGUGCGCAGGCGGUUUGCUAAGACCGAUGUGAAAUCCCCGGGCUCAACCUGGGAACUGCAUUGGUGACUGGCAGGCUAGAGUAUGGCAGAGGGGGGUAGAAUUCCACGUGUAGCAGUGAAAUGCGUAGAGAUGUGGAGGAAUACCGAUGGCGAAGGCAGCCCCCUGGGCCAAUACUGACGCUCGUGCACGAAAGCGUGGGGAGCAAACAGGAUUAGAUACCCUGGUAGUCCACGCCCUAAACGAUGUCAACUAGUUGUGGGAUUCAUUCCUUAGUAACGUAGCUAACGCGUGAAGUUGACCGCCUGGGGAGUACGGUCGCAAGAUUAAAACUUAAAUGAAUUGACGGGGUC
rnacentral:rRNA from 1 species